rnacentral:rRNA from 1 species
GUGAGGAAUAUUGGUCAAUGGACGCAAGUCUGAACCAGCCAUGCCGCGUGAAGGAUGAAGGCGUUCUGCGUCGUAAACUUCUUUUACCAGGGAAGACACCUGAUUAUUCUUAAUCAGUCGACGGUACCUGAGGAAUAAGCACCGGCUAACUCCGUGCCAGCAGCCGCGGUAAUACGGAGGGUGCAAGCGUUAUCCGGAUUUACUGGGUUUAAAGGGUGUGUAGGCGGACUUUUAAGUCAGCGGUGAAAUCCAGAGGCUCAACCUCUGAACUGCCAUUGAUACUAUUGGUCUUGAAUACUGAUGAGGUGGGCGGAACGGGUCAUGUAGCGGUGAAAUGCUUAGAGAUGACCCGGAACACCGAUUGCGAAGGCAGCUCACUGGGCAGUUAUUGACGCUGAGGCACGAAAGCGUGGGGAUCAAACAGG